ACCCAACCAAAAAGGCAAAAGAAAACAAAAAUCUCUCACACACAAUCCGUCCAAUGAGCUUCCAGGAACUUCGCGGUUUUAGUGGAGCUAAACUUUGCAUGCCUACACGAUAAAACGUUUUGAUUUGUACUCGUAAUCGCGUUAUAGUCUGACCCAACUACAUCAAAAUUGGUCGCAACCCAUUUUAGAUACGGAAUACAUGGUUCUCAGUCGUAGGUACUUUAAGGUCUUUUCGACGGUCCAACUAUUGUAGCUGUUGUAGCUUUAUUAAGCUCAAAGUGCUUUCACACUUUUAUGCUAACCACUUAGCCAACCCUAGCCGCCACUUCUUACCCGUGUUUGUAUGGUGUAACUUGUUCAUGGUCACUGUGUUUAACCUAUUUGAACAUAGCUUAUUCCUCUUAUCCCCAUCAAGAACAUGGAGUCAAUUCGGGAAUCAGAUGGUGAAAGGUAUGCCUUAAUUUAGCUAGAGGCUAGGUCUUAAAUUAAUAACCUGCUACUGGCUCAGCAAAUGCGCCUAGAAAAAGCUUGUUUUGUAUUGAUCAUUAGCACAAAAAAAAAAAAAUCCACGCAUUAAUUAAUUUCACCACAUCAUUUUUAACAUGAAAUAAAUGUAUUCUUCUUUGUAGUUUGGGCGAGAUGGAAAGCAGCACUAGCGAUCCUGACAGUGAGUUUGAGGCCCAGUUUGAAUCUGGGCGGCAGAGAAAGCGGCCUGUUCCUGUCCCUGUGUCCGUGCCCAAACAGCCCCUCAAGAAAUUGAGGCGCAGAGCCUCAGUGACACCCAUAUCAAGCCCCAGUCCCUCCCAAGGGACACCAGAACAGGCCUCUCUUCCCGGGCCUGUGAGGAUUUGGAAGAAGGCCCCGGCAAUCCGUGCGGAGGACAUCUAUGCAGCCAUCCGCUCCGGAAAGAGUGCCACAGUGGUGAGGGAAUAGAUUACAUAUUAAAAAAGAAUACUAUUUUUUAUAAAUGUGUGUGUGUGUGUGUGUGUGUGUGUGUGUGUUCUGGGGGGAUGGGGUGAGGUGGGGCGGACACUCAGGCAGACGGACACAUGAGUAAUG
rnacentral:lncRNA from 1 species